rnacentral:rRNA from 1 species
GACGUAGGGCGCGAGCGUUGUUCGGAAUCACUGGGCGUAAAGGGCGUGUAGGCGGUCAAGUAAGUGGAAUGUGAAAGCCCCCGGCUUACCCGGGGAUCUGCAUCCCAAACUGCUUGGCUUGAGUACGGGAGAGGAUAGGGGAAUUCCUGGUGUAGCGGUGAAAUGCGUAGAUAUCAGGAGGAACACCGGUGGCGAAGGCGCCUAUCUGGCCCGAUACUGACGCUGAGGCGCGAAAGCUAGGGGAGCAAACGGG